AUGAAGCAGAAGGAGAAAAUCAGCUCACCUGUACACUCAAAGACUCCUUUAUUUAUAUCUUGUGCUGAGGUGACAAGGAGCUGUUUUCCGGAUGUCAUGUGGCUGAAGUGUUCGUUAUUGAUUUGUGGAGGACUCUACAUGAGGCAACAAAGUACCUUACCCCAUUCUUAGGGAACAGAUGUAGGGAAUUCUGGCUAGGAUUCAGACCUCUGUGUGGGUGGGAAAAGGCCAGGAAAAUUCUCCUAGCCACUUUUGCUGAAGAAUUUAUAGUAUGCAUAUGUGCUGGUGAACAUCAUUUUGAGGCUUUUCUCCUUAUCAGAUGCCAUCUUUUUUGUUCAAUACAGUUUUGGUGCCAUUGACAUCUUGAUGACAUUUGGCCUGGGGGACGUGAAGGAGAAUGAACCCAAGGCAUAUUCUGGUAGUUGCCAGACACAGCAGGUUGGCAUCGACACUGCUGCAGCUCUUCUUAACAGUGCCAGAAGGAUGCCAGGAGAACAGCUUUGAGUACGGAGGACAAGCAGUGUGAGACAGAGCUGAGCAGAGAGCAGAUCUUCUGGUUCACAGCUGUGAAGGAUGAGUUCCACUAGAUUUUUUUGAUUUGGACCAGAUACGGCCAAGAGUGCCUAACAAGGGACACCUUACCGUGGAUCAUCGCACCGGGACACCUGCAUGACUCGGGCAGUCCAGCAGAGUGUCCCAAAUGGACCUUGAAGGGGAGAAGAUUAUUUAAACCUGUUGUGGCCUACAAACAUGGACAGCCUCAAAAAAGAUGCCAUUGCUCUUCCGACUUUUCUCACUGCACCAUCUGCCAGGAACUGCAAAUCCCUCUCUUGGCCAAGCCUUUCCCCUCAGGGACCAUCUUCAUGGAUGAAAGUAGAAGAAACCAUCCAUGCCACCCCCAAGGGCACCCCCACUGCCUUCUUUGCUCCUGGGGAGAUCUGAUGACACAGUAGGGGCUAUGACUGCGUGAGCUGUAGCAGGGCAGCGAGGAAUCUCGGAUGGGAUGCAAGGAGUGGAAAGAACCCACAGCAGAGUUUGGUUUGGCAGCCCCUUGCAGACAAUAAAAGGUCAGGCUGC